GCCGUGAUCGUAUAGUGGUGAGUACUCUGUGUUGUGGCAGCAGAAACCUCGGUUAGAAUCCGAGUCACGGCA
rnacentral:tRNA from 1 species